CGAAAUGCGAUAAGUAGUGUGAAUUGCAGAAUUCAGUGAAUCAUCGAAUCUUUGAACGCACAUUGCGCCCUAUGGUAUUCCGUAGGACAUGCCUGUUCGAGCGUCAUUUACACCUUCAAGCCUUGCUUGGUGUUGGGUGACUGUGGCCCCUUUGGGGCCACUCGCCUUAAAGUCAUUGGCGGCCGGUUCGUUGGCUUUGUAGCGCAGCACAAUUGCGUCCUCGAAGCCGCUGGACCAGCUCCCAGAAGCUAAUUUUAAAUGUUUGACCUCGAAUCAGGUAGGGAUACCCGCUGAACUUAAGC
rnacentral:misc_RNA from 1 species